GCCGGAAUAGCUCAAUUGGUAGAGCAACUGACUUGUAAUCAGUAGGUUGGGGGUUCAAGUCCUCUUUCCGGCA
rnacentral:tRNA from 1 species